AAGAUAAGAUCCUAACAGCUCCGUUUCCGUCAGCCGCUUUUUAAAGUGACAGUAAGUGUCGAUCUUAAAGUAACGUUGUUCGUCAUUCGAUUAAUUCUUCAGUCCCGCUAGCGUCUCCGCCACGAAUUUACUGGACCUCGCGUUAAAAUCAAAACGUCGCUGAAAAGAGAAAGUAUCAUAGGAUUUUACACAAAAACACUGAUAAAAAGAUGCCACAGACCCUAAAUUUAACAGUCCUAGCGCUGUUACUUUGUACACUUCUGCCAUUCAUCAGCACCCAAAGCAUCACUCAGAAAAAAUGUUUAACGGCGUGUGGAACGUGUCUUCACAAAUGUACUUUUAAUGAAGAUGUUCAGAUCAAAUUAAUGAUGGGUACAAACACUAUUGACGAACUAUGCACUGAUCCAGCUUUUAGCUGUCGAAAAAGUUGUAAAAUGCUGUCGAGUUAUGAUCCCUCUCGUUGCUGGUUCGAGGGAAAAAAAUAGGACCUAACAAGUUGUGAGUUAUGUAACAGAAUUAAACAGAAUUCAAACAAUUUAAAA